CGUCCUGUACGGAAGUUUGGGUGUCGCGGUUGGAUUGAGUCAUGUUGCUUCCUCGGAUGCGUUUGGUGGCCGACAAGCUUUCCGAAGCGCCCUCACCUCGGCCUCGAGAUGAUCAACGCGCGCCCCAAGUGCAAACUGAUAGUCACCAUAAGGAUCAUCAAGGGUAGAAAGAAAAUCGAGGAAGGCUCGCGACUUCUCGACUAGGGUCUGUUGGGAUUCAUCGGGAGUUUAUCACGGCUGCGGCCAG
rnacentral:misc_RNA from 1 species